rnacentral:rRNA from 1 species
UACAGAGGUGGCAAGCGUUGUUCGGAAUUACUGGGCGUAAAGCGCGUGUAGGCGGCAGCGCAAGUCGGGCGUGAAAUCCCACGGCUCAACCGUGGAAGUGCACUCGAAACUGCGCAGCUAGAGUCCUGGAGAGGAAGGUGGAAUGCUUGGUGUAGAGGUGAAAUUCGUAGAUAUCAAGCGGAACACCGGUGGCGAAGGCGGCCUUCUGGACAGUGACUGACGCUGAGACGCGAAAGCGUGGGGAGCAAACAGG